AAUUUCUACAUGUAUUGGUCACCAAGUAUAGUUGGACAAAAGUCAAGGGAGGAAAUAUUUCUCGGAGACCCGUUUUGGAUUUUGUAGAUGGCCUUCAUAUCAAAAUCACAGAAAAGAGCAACUGAAUGGGAUAAUAUUUCAGAGAAGCAAAAACCAGUUCUGCUUUAUAGCCUUACGUGCACUAUUUUUUCUUGGUUACUUUGUUUUAGUUUUUUCGUUAUGUAAUUCAUACUGUUAUGUUGUUCAAAACUACAUACUGUUCUGAAAUGGCUACCCCAUGUUUGUGAUAUGUAUGUAUACUUUUCAUUAAUAAAGUUUUUUUUUUUUU